UGGUGUUGAUGGCAGUUAGCACGACGAUUAGUGAACCACAAGCGCACGGAUCAUCGUAGCUUUUCCCUUAUAGUAUUCCAUCCAAGGUUUAUCAAUCUGUGGAUUAGCAAUAAACUGGCUAGGGUUUUCUAUCUAGUCCAAAGGAUCUAUCCUAACAUGAAGCAUAGAUUGCAUAAGAAGGCAAACUUGUUGUAAAUGUUGGUAUCAUGAAUAAGGGUAGAUCACAUCCACAGAUAUAUAUGAUAUAACAUCACCGAGGGCUGCAAAAGCCUAGCAUCUUCUAGUUGUAGUUCCACCCAAUGAUCAAGCACAUCAUGCAUCUCAUCUAAAGCAAUAUUUAAACUACUACCUCUACUCAACCGCCCGAAAACCCCCACCUUACACAGAAUG
rnacentral:lncRNA from 1 species